UACACUCCUACGGGAGGCAGCAGUGGGGAAUAUUGGCCAAUGGGCGCAAGCCUGAUCCAGCCAUGCCGCGUGAGUGAUGAAGGCCCUAGGGUUGUAAAGCUCUUUCACCGGUGAAGAUAAUGACGGUAACCGGAGAAGAAGCCCCGGCUAACUUCGUGCCAGCAGCCGCGGUAAUACGAAGGGGGCUAGCGUUGUUCGGAUUUACUGGGCGUAAAGCGCACGUAGGCGGACUAUUAAGUCAGGGGUGAAAUCCCGGGGCUCAACCCCGGAACUGCCUUUGAUACUGGUAGUCUUGAGUUCGAGAGAGGUGAGUGGAAUUCCGAGUGUAGAGGUGAAAUUCGUAGAUAUUCGGAGGAACACCAGUGGCGAAGGCGGCUCACUGGCUCGAUACUGACGCUGAGGUGCGAAAGCGUGGGGAGCAAACAGGAUUAGAAACCCGAGUAGUCCCAU
rnacentral:rRNA from 1 species